UAUUUAUAUUGUUAAGGAAAAAACUGAGGAGGUGUUGUAGAAGAUAUAGAACUGUGUGCUGAAGCUUUUUACAGGGAAGAAAUGGAAUAUCCACAAUAACGAAGGACUUGGGCGAAGAACUGUGCGAAGAGCUGGUACAGAAGAAGUUUGCCAACCUUCGUUCAUGGAGAACAUCAAUGAGACUAAAUAACAAAGAUUCUUCUUGCUAAGAGAAACAAGAGGCUACCCCAGCCAACCCUACACUAGUCAGAAUGAGAAGCCUAGCCUGUGAAUUCUGGUGUAGACUGGCAUAUCAGAGCCUCCCAGAUUCCGUUCAUAGCAGGUUGAUGGGUAAUGCUGAAAAAAAAAAAAUGAAACCGGCAAAUUCGGACACAUCUGCUUCCUGAAUUACUGUUCUCCCAAGCCGUGAACAAGCAGUAGAAGGGACUUCUAGUCUCACCCCUAUCUUGGCUCUUCUGACCUAAAUAUUUGAGGGAUCUGGCUCAGAACAGAAAGGUUGA